rnacentral:rRNA from 1 species
GACGUAGGGGGCCAGCGUUGCUCGGAACUACUGGGCGUAAAGGGUUCGUAGGCGGUGCGGCAAGUCGGGAGUGAAAUCUCUGGGCUUAACUCAGGGGCUGCUUCCGAAACUGCCGUGCUUGAGUGCGGGAGAGGCGAGUGGAAUUGCAGGUGUAGCGGUGAAAUGCGUAGAUAUCUGCAGGAACACCCGUGGCGAAGGCGGCUCGCUGGACCGCAACUGACGCUGAGGAACGAAAGCUAGGGGAGCAAACAGG